AUACGGAGGGUGCGAGCGUUAAUCGGAAUUACUGGGCGUAAAGCGCGCGUAGGCGGUUUGUUAAGUCGGAUGUGAAAUCCCCGGGCUCAACCUGGGACCUGCAUCCGAUACUGGCAGGCUAGAGUCUGGUAGAGGGGGGUAGAAUUCCUGGUGUAGCGGUGAAAUGCGUAGAUAUCAGGAGGAAUACCAGCGGCGAAGGCGGCCCCCUGGACUGAGACUGACGCUGAGGUGCGAAAGCGUGGGGAGCAAACAGGAUUAGAAACCCUAGUAGUCC
rnacentral:rRNA from 1 species